rnacentral:rRNA from 1 species
AAUGAACGCUGGCGGCGUGCUUAACACAUGCAAGUCGAACGAGAACGGCCCUUCGGGGUGUCAGCUAAGUGGCGCACGGGUGAGUAAUGUAUAGCUAACGUGCCCCAUGGAGAGGGAUAACAGUUGGAAACGACUGCUAAUACUUCAUACUCCGUUUUGACACAAGUUGGAACGGGAAAUGUUUUUCGCCAUGGGAUCGGGCUAUAUUGUAUCAGCUAGUUGGUGGGGUAAAGGCUUACCAAGGCUAUGACGCAUAGCUGGUCUGAGAGGAUGAUCAGCCACACUGGAACUGAGACACGGUCCAGACUCCUACGGGAGGCAGCAGUGGGGAAUAUUGCACAAUGGGCGAAAGCCUGAUGCAGCAACGCCGCGUGAGCGAAGAAGGUCUUCGGAUCGUAAAGCUCUGUCCUAUGGGAAGAACACAAUGACGGUACCAUAGGAGGAAGCCCCGGCUAAC